rnacentral:lncRNA from 1 species
AGGCUGUAAGCAAAAUGAAGCGGUUAAUGCAGGCGAUUUUUGACAAGUUAGGAUGUUGCCGAGCAGAUUUACCUCCGGGGGAUGAUUCAGAUUAGAUGUUACGGGGUUCCUCUUUUUGUCAUUUUGGCGCUUUCUGACAAAAAGGGGGAGAUGAUAUGAUGGUUCAUGAUGAUAUAAUGGCUCAUGAUGAUGAUGAUGUCUGAUGAGGAUGCUGUUUUUUGAUUAGUUGUGUAAAUUUAGGCUAGAUGUUUGUUUAGGUGCUUGACUAUGAACUAUGACUUGUUGCUUUGAUUGCUUUGACGUUUGAUCUUUUAUGAUGAGUUUGCUUGAAUCUUGAUUGUGUUUUUAAGAAUGUUUUUGCAGGAAUAUUCAAGAUUUCAAGACUCCGGGUCUAAGUCAUAGAGUCUGUAUUAAGGUUGUAAAAAAUGUAAUUUUCUUUUAUUGGAUCAAUCAUGCAGGAGAUUGUCGUUUGGUGAUUGCGAUGAUCUUCUUUUUAUUGUUUCUGAGUUGUGUAUGAGCUUUGUAGUAUAUUUUGUCACGAAAUCGCCAAAGGGGGAGAUUGUUAAGGAUUUUAUAGGUUGGCGAAUUUAGUAAAGUUGAAUGGAGUCUUGAAGAGUUGAUUGCGGAAGUUUGAAGAAAAGAUCCAAAUUGAAGAACAAAGACUCAUUCGGAAAGCUCGGCAUCUCAGGUAUGAAGAAUAGAUGAUUUCGUAGAGUUGAAUGGAGUCUUGAAGAGUUGAUCGCAGAAGUUUUGAAGAAAAGAUCCAAAUUGAAGAACAAAGACUCAUUCGGAAAGCUCGGCAUCUCAGGUAUGAAGAAUAGAUGAUUUAUGGUGAAGAUGUUUAAUUGUAAUAAGUUCAGAAGGCUUAGAUUGCUUUAAAAAUUCUUUUACUGAACUUUUAUGUGUUCUGGGACCGGUCCCUGUGUUGAAGAGACCGGUUCCCCUAAGGUCCUCACUGCGUGAACAUUGAUGCAACCGAUCCCCUGAGAUGAGAGACCGGUUCCCGAACCUUGGUAUUUCUGUCACGCAGCGAGAGACCGGUCUCUGGCUUGAGAGACCGGUUCCCGAACGUUGUGUUUUUUGAUCACGCAGUGAGGGACCGGUUCCUCACAUGAGAGACCGGCCUCUCACAGACCGGUCUCCUCGAGAGGACCGGUCCCUGAGGACGACACAUGUUUUUAAAAAGCACUUUUUGCAAUCCUAGUCUACUUCUAAGUUUUCUAAAUAUAUAAAUAAGCCAUGGGGGUCAUCUUAAAGUUUAAGGCUUUGAAUUUUUACUGAUUCUAAACCCUAGAAACUUGUUUUUUCGUUCUAAUGCUUCUAUUCACAUAACAAGUUUCGUAAAAUCAACAAUCGACUUCGUUCUUCGAUUUUACUCGAGAUCUUAUUCGAGAAUCAAGUUGAUGUUUGAUUAGAAGACGGACCCUCAUAGCUUAUGGGAUUCUAAAGCUUAAUCACCACAAAUCUUCGAUUCUACAAGCUCCGGAAGCAGAUUUGGCGCCUGGAGCUCGCGUGUAGCCGAGUAUUCGGUGGACGCUUCAAGGAGCUGAGGCGUUGACGCUGCGAGGAGUUGCGGCAAGAUCGAUUGGAGGAUUCCUAUCGAUCGAUUGGAGGAUUCCUAUUGAGUCGUGUAUUUUUGUCAAAAUCACUUGUACUCAAGUUUUCUUAGUGGAUUUUCUUCGCGUGAUCGGUCCCGUGGGUUUUUUACUCCGAUUUGGAGUUUUCCCACGUUAAAUUCUCGGUGUGCUAUUUUCUUUUCCGCUGUUUCGUUUUAUUUGCAUCGAGAUUUUUCAGUUUGCCAUUUUUACACCUAUUCACCCCCCUCUAGGUGUUACUUACCUUUUAGAUCCUCGGGAUCCAUAUCUUACUGGUUAUCCUUGAGAUUAAAAAAUAAAGAGCAAAGAACAAAGAACAAAGACAAAGAAUAAAGAGCAAAGAACAAAGAACUUGCAUAAUCUGCAUAUGUUAAUGUUAAGCAUAUUUCCUGCUUAUUGUUCAGGCAUAUUAGCAUCAUAUUAUAGAUUGGUUACUAUAUGCAGCUUUUUCUUUCUAUUAUGCCUGAGUUAGUCCUAGUGGGAAAGUCGGUGAGAUUAAGGCCGAACCCACUGGGAACUUUGUUGUAGUUCUCACCCCACUAUUUUCACAGAGCCGGGAUCGAGCGAGCCGGCAAGUGACUGAGGUAAAGGUAUCGCGCCUUAGACAGAGGCCACCAGAGUUGAGUUGGGUUUACAUUUUGUUAGUAGAGUACCCUAUGUACAUCUUUUGUAUUUGAUGACUAGUGAUGUAAAGAAAAGAAUGUAAAGCUUAUUUUGAGGAAAAUGUGAUGUAAAAAGAAAUGAUGUCAUGAUGUAAUGAAAUGUAAGGAAGUUGAAAAUGUACAAGUUGGACUUAAUGUAUAUGAUCUAAAUUGAAUCAUAGUACAAGUGAAUGUUUAGUUUCCUAUCUCUCACUCAUGGCUAUUGCUUACCCUCGCAUAAGCCGUAUUUGUAUGUUUCCGCUAGUGCAUUUCUUGUUUGAAUUUGUACAGGUGAUGAGCCUUGGGCGUACAGGGAAAACUCUGUCCGUUCGGCAUCUGUUUGACGUGCUCGGGCUGGCCCAAAUUGGUAUCGGUCCCGGGGCGUGACAGAUAUCGUGGUAUCAGAGCCAAGAGUGAAAGAAUAGGAGUGGACCUAGAGACCCUUAGGAUUGGAAGACCUUAAGGAUCUAGGAAACGUAAGCGACAAAGUUAGCGCAAGCAUGUGAUUGGGUUAAGUUGGGACGUCUCUAAUGUGAUUAGAGGCUAAGUUUAAUUUCCGUUGAUCCUACACUUCUAGUGUUGUGUCGGGCGACCGACAACAUGACGCUGGAGGCAAGGAUGAAUGUGCAUGUUGCUUUCGCCGGAUUGGGUAUGGUCAAAUAAUGUGGUCAUGUAGCUAAUACAAGUUGCUUCUUUUCAGGAAGCAAUGGCACCUCGUGGACGACCUCAGACCAGGUCGAUGCCGGAGGAGCCAAGUGCGGAGCCCGAGCGAUCCGGAGCGAGUGGCGACGGAGAGCUUAGGGAGCAGAUGGCCGUGCUUAUCGGCGUAGUGCGGCAACAGGCGGAGUCUGUCCAACGCCAAGGAGAGCAGAUUCAGUGGCUCCAGGAGGCCUUGGAGCGUCAGCAGGCGGCGGCGGCCCAGGCAGGUGUCGAACAUGUCGCGCCCCCUGUGGUAGUGCCGAGCGUGGACGAGGGAGCGGCGGCAGCAACGGCUGUUCCAGUUACGAUGAUAUCGGCCUGAUCGGGAACCUCAAAUCCCGAUAGUGCGGCGGUAGAAGCGAAGCGAGAGCGCACCUUGGCGGCUCUCAUUCAGUUUAAAAAGUUCGACCCACCUAUCUUCGAGGGAGGUUUGGUGGAGCCAGCGGUAGUGGAGUCGUGGAUCGACUCGAUGGAGACACUCUUCGAGGAUCUCAACACCUUGGAGAAGGACAAAGUAUACCUUGCCACCCAUUGUCUUGAGAAGGCGGCGAUGGUGUGGUGGAAGCGAGUGAAGCGGGAUUGUCCUACCGACCUUUCGCUUAUGCUAUGGGAAGAGUUCAAGAGAGCAGUCUUCGCGAACUACUUCCCCGACACGACGAAGCGGAAAUUGCAAGAAAAGUUUCGCAAGUUGAGACAAGGUGAUCGAUCGGUGGGGGAGUACGAGCAAGAAUUCUCCCACAUUAUUGACUGCAUUCCCGAUGUUGUUAGAGAUGAUCGGGACCGGGCCGAUUGGUUCUUACGAGGACUCCAGCCCCAGAUUUAUGAGAAGGUGCAAAUCUUAAAGUUGUCGACCUUUGCGGAGGUCUUCGAUAGAGCAUUGUGGGCGGAGCACGGUAGCGCCCACGUACGUGAAGAAAGGGAGGUUAUGGCCAAGUUAAGGGACAAAGGCAAGAAGCGAACGGCGGGCGGUGCCGGGGGCCGGCCAAAUGUUAAGAAACCCCAUCGGUAUCCCCGACAGCAGUCGAGGAACUGGAGACCACCUCGAUGCGUCAUAUGUGGUGGAGAGCACAAGGUGUCGACUUGCCCGCAGCGAGACGGCAAAUGUUUCAAGUGUGGCCAACCGGGACAUCUUAUCCGGGAGUGCCCGAGCUGGACGUCGUCUGCGCCGACGGCGGCAUCAGUACCGUCUACCCCGAGACAGCUUGCGGGGUUACCACCAGCGAUGUCGGCUGGGCGCGUGUCAUCACCGCGUCAGCCGGAGGGAUCGAGAGCUCCUGGCGGCCGAGUUUUUGCCGCUCAGGUGGAGGAGGAGCAGCAGCCUGCAGCACCCGACGACGUCGUGGCAGGUAUAAUUAUGAUUAAUGGCACUAGAGCUAGAACAUUGUUCGAUACUGGUGCAUCACGUUCAUUUGUAGGCUCAAAGUUUGCAAAGGCACAUGGCAUAGAGAUGACACAUAACGAGGAUUACUGGUCGGUAAACGGUCGCGAGCACUCGUUUCGUGUUUAUGAUGAGUGCUUGGAGGUUCCGGUGCAGGUUGGCGACUGGAUCAUGCCGAUAGACCUACUGGUGCUAGACCGGAUGUGGGGCUUCGAUGUUAUUUUGGGGACCAAUUGGCUCUCCAAAUACUAUGCGGUCAUAGAUUGUGAAAGUAAGGUUAUCACUUUUCGUGAGCCUAACCAAGAAGAAUUUGUGUACCGGGCGUGCAAAGGUGCGCGUUUCGCGGCCACUAUAUCGUCAGUGAGGGCCAAGAGAAUGAUUAAGGGAGGAUGUAAAGCCUCUUUGGCAACCAUGGUUGAUGGCCGUGGGAAGCACCCAAAUCUUGAAAGUAUCCGGAUUGCGUGCGAGUUUCCGGAUGUAUUUCCGGCGGGGUUACCGAGAUUGCCACCGGACCGGGAAGUUGAGUUCGUUAUCGACUUAAUUUUCGGGGCGGAACCAGUUUCCAAGGCUCCAUAUAGAAUGGCCCCGGUGGAGCUAAAGGAGUUGAAAGGCCAAUUGAAAGACUUGCUCGAUAAAGGCUUUGUGAGGCCGAGCGUGUCACCGUAGGGAGCUCCGGUGCUAUUUAUAAAGAAAAAGGAUGGUACACUUCGACUUUGUGUGGAUUAUCGCGAGUUGAACAAAGUGACUGUAACACACUGGACUUUCGCAAAUAGCAAGGUUCGAGUGUUUGAUUUGUGUUUUGAGUUUAUUCCAGACUUUCUGGAGGGUCGUAGAUAGUGUUCCGACAUAUGGCUCAUAUCCCGAGAAUUGUAGUAUUUUUAUGUAGCGCUAAGGCCACUAAAGAGUUGGACUUAGCCUACCCUCGGAUUGCAUUCUGCACAUGGUGAAACCGGUGACAUGUCGAUGGUUGUACCGGUACACAUUUUGUACCGGUACACUUUUGAUGGCUGUACCGGUACACUUGUGCCGAAUUUCAAACCCGAGCCUCGGGUUUGCAUUUUCGUGGGAUUUGUACCGGUACACUUUCCCGUGUACCGGUACACUUUGGCAGUUUUCGAACAGUUCGAACUGCAGGGGUGUUUUUGCAUUGUUGCACCUCUAUAUGAUACCCCACGCCUCCCCUUUGGUUUCCUGAGCCCAGAACUCAGAGGAAACAGGUGAGAGAGCUCCUCCUUGCCUCAUUUUGGAUUUCAUCUUCCUUUUUUUUGGUUUUUAGGUGGUUUUUGCUCUCUUUUGCCUUUUAGAGCAUUUCCCACCAUUAUUGGAGGCUUGGAUCUUGGAGAGGAGCUCAUUGGAGAGGAGAACUUCAACCCUAGUUGGUUUGGGGCCUUGUUGGGAGCUUCUUAAGAGGUUAGAUGCUUGUUCUCUCCUCUUGAUUUGUAUUUUGAUGGUGGAUUUGAGUUGAAACCCUAGAAUGUGAGUUUAGGGUUGAUUUUGGGCAUUUUGAUUCUUGGGCCUUUUGAGCUAAAUUGAUUGGAUUAGAACCUUUACCUAGGUUGCAUUGGAAGGGAUCUAGCUUCCAUUUGGAGCUUGUGAGGGAUUUUCACCACCAUAGGUGAGUUUUGGCCCUUUCUUUGAGUUGGUUAAUGUUUAACCUAUUCAUUGUUCGUAAUUCUUGUGUAUCCCUUCGCUCAUUACUUUUAGGGUAUUUUGAGACUCGUGGAUAACUCCGUUCGGCAAAACGAGGGACUACACGACGGUUCGGUGGGUUUGGCCUAGCCACACAACGAGAAAAUCUCAUUGUUGAUGGUUUAAGUGUUGUAAAUUAAAAAGCAUGCAUAUUUGUGUUAGAUGCAUUAUUUGUGAAUUUUAGAAUGCUUAAAAUGCACAUGUUAUAUACAAUACAUAUUUGACCUCUAUAUAGUAGAGAGUUUUCAUGUUGGGCUAGGGGCCUACGGUUAGCAUUCUUACAAUUGAUUGAGAUCAUGUUGCAUAUGGUACAUAUGGCAUAUAGAUUACACUCUUGGACAUAUCGACAUUAAGUGACAUAGGCUAGAGUGUAUACAAAUAGUAAGCUAAUGUCAUAAAGCGGCAUUAGGCUUGGACUAGAUAUGGAUUUAGCAAGCUAAUGUCAUAAAGCGGCAUUAGACUUGAUGGAUAUGUAAAUUGCAUUUGCAUGUUAUUAUUAUGAGAAAUUAUGCCAAGUGGAUAGUUGCAUUGGAAAGAACAUACAUGUGGCAAUAUGAGAACACACUAGAGAGCAUGUGUAUUAAUCUAAUUAUGAAGAACAAGCUGCGUCAUAAAAGAGGCAUAGAAUGUGAAUUGAGCUUAGAUUAUAGCAAUGUUUAAGUGUCAUAAAGAGGUACUAAACAUAGUGAAUGUGGAAACUUCACUUGAGCUUUGGACUUUGUAAAGCUAAGGUCAUUGACAUAGAAUUUUAUUGAACGGUUAAACCUUCACAUUGAAGGCAUUGAACUAGAUCUUCGAAGAUGCUAGUGACUUUUACCAUGUUAGAGACAUGAUGAUUGUGGGGUGGCUAUUACCAUGUUGGAGACAUGACGAUUGGACUAUUGAGGUAUUGACCAUGCUUGCUUGCCAUUUGUGCUCAUUCGCACAUGCUUGUACGGGUCGCUCCCUACAAGCCGGCACUUCGGAGUUAGCCUAGCGACUUAUGUUCGCUCGUGCGGUAUCGAGUAGCCUACGGGGCAUGGAGGGAUAGACUCAUUCCUAGAGUCGGAAUGCUGAAGCUACCACUGGCACUUAGGCGGCACAAGCCGGACUACACGUGUGUAGAUCCUGAUUGAGAUUGAACCAGAAUAUUAAGCAACAAGUUGACAUUCGCUACUAGCUAGGUUAUAGUAGUUGGACUCUUGAUAUGCUAUGGCAUAGUGUUGGACAUUUGGGCUUAGAGUAUACUUGACAGUAUCGCUUAUUACAUUGUAGUAUUCUUGGUUGCUAUGAUAGUACAUACUAGAUAUGUCGUGGACUUUGGGACAUAUAGCAUACUUCAUAGCAUUACUUGUUGCAUCAGAACAUAUUGUUUAAGUUUUGACAUAUUGGAUCAUGUAGAGUAGGUGUACUCCAUGUUGACAUUCAGAAUAUUUGUGGCAUAGUAGUAUAACAUUUCAAUAUAUGCCUUUAUUUUCCGCAAUCGUUAUUUCGUUAUCUAUAUCUGCUUAUUUUUGGGCCUAGUGGUGCAAUUUGGUGCAGGUCAGUAAUUGCCCACUGGGAACUAUAAUUUAUAGUUCUCACGCCCCCUGUUUUAUGUUUUUUUUCAGAGCCUUCCACUCUGGGAGAGGCUCGGGAUCGCGGGGAAGGUUUCGCCUUGAGUUAGCUAUCGAGGGACUUGGUGAUAGGUGGCCCACCUCUCUUUUGUUUUCUUUUGGAGAGGUUGUGAGAGUUUUGUACCUGGCUGUAGAGACCACCCUAUUUUUGUAUCUUGAGAUUUAUGAAGUAUCAGUUUACUUUAUGCUUUAGUAGUAUGAUUUUCUUUUGAUUCUACCUGAUGUUAGAACCUAGCUAUAUACUUGCUCUGAUAUCUCUAGCUGCGGAUCUUCUCAUGCUUUACUCUUCCGCUUUUGUGUAGACGCCUUAUAUGUGUAGAUAUAUGGCGGGUCUGGGCGCGCACCGGGCGGGCCUAUGCAGGGUCCCGGGGCGUGACAGUGACGAUAAAGAACAAGUACCCGUUGCCGAGGAUUGACGAUUUAUUCGAUCAGUUGCAAGGGUUCAAGGUGUAUUCGAAGAUUAAUCUCCAGUCGGGGUAUCAACUAAAGAUAAGGCCGAAGGAUGUGCACAAAACGGCGUACCGUACGCGGUAUGGCCAUUAUGAGUUCACGGUAAUGCCGUUCGGGCUUACUAACGCCCCGGCAGCAUUUAUGGACUUGAUGAACCGAGUCUUCAGGCCAUUGUUGGAUCGAUGCGUCGUAGUGUUUAUAGACGACGUGUUGUUUUACUCGAAGAGUGAAGAAGAGCAUAAAGAACAUCUGAGAGCUGUGUUGCAAAUACUCAGGCAAGAGAAGCUCUAUGCAAAGUUAAGGAAAUGUGAGUUUUGGUUAAAGGAAGUCACAUUUUUGGGCCACGUGAUAUCGGGCGACGGAGUUUUAGUAGACCCGAAGAAAGUAGAGGCGAUUAAGGAUUGGCCUCGCCCGACGAAUGUAGCGGAGGUCCGCAAUUUUCUUGGACUCGCGGGCUACGACCGGCGGUUCAUGGAGGGGUUCGCCAAAAUAACCACUUCGCUAACGCGCCUUACACAUAAAGGAGUAAAAUAUGUUUGGAGCGACGAUUGCGAUCGGAGCUUCGAGGAGUUAAAGAGCAGGUUAACGUCGACCCCGGUUCUUGCCUUGCCGACUCCGGGGGAGACAUUUGUAGUGUAUAGUGAUGCCUCGUAUGUUGGUCUCGGGUGUGUAUUAAUGCAAAAUAGGCGAGUCAUCGCAUAUGCAUCGCGCCAGUUAAAUAUGAGAAGAACUACCCGAUUCACGACCUUGAGUUAGCCGCGGUGAUUUUCGCGCUAAAGCUUUGGAGGCAUUACUUAUAUGGUGAGCAUUGUGAGGUUUACACCGAUCGCAAAAGUUUAAAGUACUUGUUCACCCAGAAAGAGUUGAAUAUGCGACAGCGGCGGUGGUUGGAGUUAUUAAAGGACUAUGAUGUCACUAUACUAUACCACCCCGGGAAAGCCAAUGUCGUGGCCGAUGCUCUAAGUAGAAAAUCGGCGGAUAAUCUAGCGACGGCGAUUACGCCUCAGCCGCUAUUACACAAGGAAAUGCAACGUCUUGGGUUGGAAGUGGUAGCGUUGGGAGUGCCGGCUACACUUGCCGCAUUAGUUGCGCAACCGACCCUAUUUGAGAGAAUCAAAGAGUUACAAGCUUCGGAUCCUUAUCUUCAAAAGGUUCGAGGUGAUGUUGAGAAUGGGAGUGCCGAAGAUUUUGGCAUUGGAGCUAACGGCGCACUUCGAUUUUGAAAUCGUUGGUGUGUGCGCAAAGAUGAUGAGUUACGAAAGGCGAUCAUGCAAGAAGCGCACCAAUCCCCUUAUAGUGUACACCCCGGCAGCACUAAGAUGUACAAGGAUUUGAAAGAGCACUAUUGGUGGCCGGGUAUGAAAAGGGAUAUUGGGGAGUUUGUGGCGUAAUGUCUUACGUGCCAACAGGUUAAAGCGGAGCGCCGAUUUUCGGCGGGAAAGCUACAAAGUCUAUCUAUACCCGUUUGGAAAUGGGAAGAUAUAGCAAUGGACUUUAUUACCGGUUGGCCUCGAUCACAGGGCGGACACGACGCGAUAUGGGUGAUAGUGGAUCGAUUGACAAAAUCGACACACUUUUUGUCGAUACAUACUACGUGGUCGGGAGACAAGCUAGCGCAAGUUUAUCUCGACGAGGUUGUGAGACUUCAUGGGAUUCCAGUGUCGAUCGUGUCAGAUCGUGACCCAAGGUUCACGUCUCACUUCUGGAAGAGCUUACAAGAUGCGUUGGGCACACGGCUCGACUUCAGUAUAGCGUUCCAUCUCAGACUGACGGAUAGUCGGAGCGAACAAUACAGAUCUUCGAGAACUUACUUUGAGCGUGUGUGCUAGAUUACAAAGGAGGUUGGCAUGAUUUCUUGCCGAUGGCGGAGUUCGCGUAUAAUAACAGUUAUCAAGAAAGUAUCGCGAUGGCUCCGUUUGAAGCCUUGUAUGGACGGAAAUAUCGUUCUCCUAUCCAUUGGAGCGACGUGGGCGAGAGAGCGGCCCUUGGCCCGGAUGUGGUACGGGAGGCGGAGGAGAAAGUUCGCCUUGCUCGUCAACGAUUAGCGGCGGCGCAAUCUCGGCAAAAGAGUUAUGCCGAUAAGUGAAGAAAGGAUCAAGAGUUCGCGGUUGGAGACCGCGUGUUCUUAAGAGUGUCGCCAAUGCGCGGAGUAAAACGUUUUGGGGUCCGUGGGAAGCUAAGUCCCCGAUAUGUCGGACCGUUCGAGAUUUUGGAGCGCGUGGGUGCGGUGGCCUACAAGCUCGCACUACCACCGAGACUCGCGGGAGUUCACAAUGUAUUCCAUGUGUCAAACCUUCGAAAGUAUAUUCGCAACUCGACACAUGUGUUAGACUAUGUGUCACGCCUCGACACCCGCCUAUUUGGUCGGAUUCGGGCACAUCGACAGACCGCCGAACGGACAGAGUUUUCCCUGUACGUCCUAGGCGUCGCAAUCAAUACAAUUCACGAUGUUCCAACCAGGAACAGAAAUCAACAUACAGAUUGCAUAUGGAAAGGUAUCAACAACAUAAACACAUCCUAUGUUAUUACAAGCAUUCACCUUGAUACAUUUGCUUACAUCACAAUUACACUUUCUCUCCAACAUACAAUCUGAGUUAUUACAAUUUAUUACAUAUUUGAUACAUCUUGUUCUUUCAUUUUUCUCUCUACCCCUAGGCUAUGCCGACACGGGGUACCACUAUCUCUGGUCUCUGGGUAGGGCGCUAUCUACGGAGCUACGCCCUUGCCUCGCGCCGCCGCGCCGCUCACGUGCAAACCUGUAAAACCCCAAAACAACGUGGGGUGAGAACCAACUCCAUGGUUCCCAGUAGGUACGGCCACCCAAGGGAAAAGCUCGACCACUAGGUCCAAGGAGGCACUGCAACAAGUUAGUCCAAUAACAUAUAAUAGAUAUAUAUAUUCGAUAUUGAACUAAAUGUCAUGCCUCGCAAAAUGCAAUAUGCAAUACCUGUAACUUUAUGCAAGUAGAUUAAUUGAUUCUACUUCAUAUUAUUAACCAUUCUUUACUUGUAGCCGUUCUUUACUUUAUUAAUUAUUCUUUAUCAUUAGCUUUUCUCUAGUCUUUACUUGGUCACAUAACGCUCAUUGGCGAUUCUUUCCUAAGGUUGCUCAUACCUUAGCCAUCUAUACCACUCGACUCGGUCUUGAGUCAAUCCUCUGCGGAUAGUCCGCACACUGGCUGCUCAACAGCCCAUCGCACUCGAUGACUCAGCCACCCGGCGGCGAAAUCGUCGCACACGCUCAGCUCUGGCUUAAGUCACCCUGCGGCAUGAUCCACAAACUGGCUCAACCAUCCGGCGGUGAAAUCGUCGCACACGCCACGACAAUGGUUCUUUAGCCCCGGGCGGCGAAAUCGUCGCACAUACCCCGCACCACUCUUGGUGUUCCACAAGUCCUGGGAUUCCGGAACCCAUUUCACAGUACUCAAGGGUUGGUCUUAACCCUAUGAAAUUGACCUAUCUAGGUCCAAGCCUUUACUCAACCUAAGUUAAUACUUUAGGUUCAUUGCUUUCAUACUCUUAGCCUAGGUUUAUUAACACUAGGUCCAUUAUUCUCAUCUACCUAGAUUCACUUGACUCUAGGUUCUUACCUUUAUCUCACAACCUAGGUUACUUUGACUCUAGGUUCAUGCCACUUAUUAAUUCAACCUAUGUUCUUUGACACUAGGUUAGAUGCCACUCGAUCUAUAGGUGCGUUUAUGUCCACCUACACAUACCCUUUACUUUAGUAUUCUUACCUCAUCAUUAUGCAUUAUCAUUAGCAUAGUUUCUACUUUAGACUAACAUGCAAUGCUACUUUAUAUCAUUUACUUAGCAUUAACCAAAUACUUACAUUUAGCAUUUCUACACCAUACUUAUCAUGUAUAGACUUAGCAUUCCUUACAUUAACGUUUCUAUGGCAUGCAUUAUGUAUUCAUUUAGCAACUAUAUGCAUCAACAUAAUUUCACAAUUCUCUUAGACAUAACGGCGACCUAGUCGCUUCGGUAAACACAACCCACCUUAACUCGCGUUCCGAUUGCUUGUCGACACUUGCAAUCGGCCUCCCGCGGCACCCGUAUCCGGCACGGCCCAAUAUUGCAACUGCGCCACAACCGUGCUCCGCUUCGCAGCCCCGAAAAUUAUAGGUCUUCGGUUAUGUGCCACAGUGCCCCAAAUCCAUUUCCACGAUUUUACGAUGUCGCCUCGGCCCUCGAGGCGGAAACGAAGCUAAAUCAUCAGUUUCUUUAAUAUCUUUGUAACGGCUCGACGGAUUGCCAAACCGACUUCGCCAACGUGUUUCGUUACCUACCAAUUAGGUUUACGAAGGGUCAAAUGAGAUCAAACUCAUCUAUUUACAAAAAUCCUACUUUGGAUGCCCUAGAUGCUACUAUUGCAAAAACCACCAAAUCGAUCUUCGAUUCAUGCAAUAAACACUUAAUUAGCAUCUAGGAAUGCUACUAAAUCCAUUUCUAGAGCAUUAGGAUCAAACUCUAGAGAUCUACCAUUGUAGUGUGUGGAGCUUACCUCCAAAAGCUCUCCAAAAGCAAUAGAAGAAGAAGAAGACGAUGAUGGUGAUUCUUCCAAGCCUCUUCUCUUUCAAUCCUUCCUCUUCUUCUUCUUCUUCUUCUUCUCCUUCUUUUCUUUCUAGAGAGAGAGAGGGACACGGUUUGGGGGCUAAACGGGUGAGGGAGAAGAGAGAAAUAAGCCACAACCCACUUCUAUACCCACUGCACAUUUGCACAAAGGACCCUCAACAAUAUUAGUUGUGCACAGCCCAAACUGGGCCAUUUUCGGGUGCUGGGACCGGUCCCAUGCAGUGAGAGACCGGUCCCCGAAAGUCUAGAAUAGCAGCAUUCCAGACUUAGCCAAAUUUUCAGCUUUUUCAGCUUUCGGGGUCCGUUUUCACUCCGUUUUCACUCGUUUGACCUCUGAUUCGUUUCAAAUCGAACCAAGACUCUCCAAACAUGUUUUCAAACAUGUUUUCAUCAUCUUUUCAUCCACGCUAAUGUCGGAUUUAGCUCACGGCCCAACAUAGCCUUUCGGGUUCCGUUUUCGCGCCUACGCGCACCGAAACGCCCGGAAGCUUCCGAACUUCACUGAACUUCACCGGGACGAUUCAAAUGGCUCUCCAACCAAAUGUACACCGUAACUUCAUGAUUUUAGAAGUUCGGUAUGUUACAGUAUGAGCCCGUGGAGCUACGUGAAGAUAUGUCUUAUGAGGAGUACCUAGUGUGCAUCCUUGAUAGAGAAGUGAAAAAGUUGCGAAGUCGCAAGAUUCCAUACGUGAAAGUCUAAUGGAGCAACCAUGCUGUGCGAGAAGCCACUUGGAAGCUCGAGGAGACCAUGCGGAGAGAGUAUCCGCAUUUAUUUGAGUUAACGAGUUAAGGUAAACGUAAUUUUGCGGACGAAAUUAUUUUAAGGGGAGGAGAAUAUAAUAUACCAAAAAUUCGGAAAAUAAAUGUCGAACUUUAGUCAAAUUGACCAAAGUGCGAGGAUGGUGCACUUCGAAAAGUCCGAAGGUGUUAAGAUGAGUAAAAGUGCGUUGUGUAAGGUUUUCGAGAGCUAAGGAAUCAAAAAUCUGCAAACUACAGUUUUUGAGCUCUCGGGGACCGGUCCCUGGAUGGAGAGAUCGGUCCCCGAACGCGUGAGAAAUGAGAUAGUCAAAAAUUUGCUAAGUCCCAGAAGAGUAGCUCUCGGGAACCGGUCCCUGCCUGAGAGACCGGUCCCCGAGAGAUCGAUCCCCCAGAGAGAGACCGGUUGCAUUGCGCGCGGCAGCUCUGGCUGCGCUGGGACGAGCUUCGGGAACCGAUCCCUGAUGGAGAGACCGGUCCCCGCCUGCGCGAACAGCCCAGUCCAGGCUGUGUGAAAGAGUAAAAGUUGAGGGGUUUAAUUGCAUUUUUGCAACCCAUUGAGCUAUGUAUGGGGACAAAUGAGAUAUUUCUCUCAUUUUCACCCUCUCAUCCCCUUUCAUCUCUCUCUCUCUCUAGAAGACAAGAAGGAGAAGAAGAAGAGAAGGAAAAAGAAGGAAAAGAAGAGGAAGAAAGUGAAGAAGAAGGCAAGGAGAAGAAGAAAACCUCUCCUCUCCUUCUCUAGCUUGGAAAAGGAGCAAGCUUAGAGGUAGGCCUUGCCCCCUUUCAUGAUAAAUCCUAAACUAGGGUUUGGGUAAGCUAGGAAUUGGUUUUUAUAGAACCUUUAGAGUAUGUGAAGCUUUCAUUUUGCUUCUUUUGAGAUCAAAACCAUGGAAUGGUGGUAGUGGUGAAGCUUGAAUGAAAGCUUCCACCUCCUCUCAUGGUGAAACCCUAAAAUGGGUUUUAGUAAAGCUAAGAAAGGUUUAGAUGGACUCUUUAGAGUAUAAUGAAGCUACUUUUGCUUCCCAUUGAGAUCAAACCCUAGGUUUGAUAUAUGCAAUGGAGCUAGGGCACCCAAAUUGGGGCUUUUGCUUGCGAGAGUUCGAAAGCACAAUUGACCCUCUAGAAACCUAAUUGGGGGUAUUUCCGACGCGUUGGUGCGCUCGGAUUAACGUUACCAAAUGCCAAUGUAAAGAUAUGGGCAAAAUGGCCUAAGUUGGCUUCGUUUUGCCGCAGGUGAAAAACGAGGAGUCUAGAAAUCUCAAGAAAACCGUCGGAGCACCUAAGUAAGCCUACGAGGUAGGUGGUGCUUUUCAAACUCGUUGAACUUUCCUCUAUGCCUAAUGUAAGGUACCGGACUUCUAAAACUAUGAAGUUACGGUGUACAUUUAAAUGGCUCCGGUGAGGUUGCGGCGGAAUGUAACAUACCGGAUUUUAAAUAUAAAAGUGAAAAUAAAUAAAAAUAGUAUGAGAUACUAUUUUUAUUGGAUUUAGAGAAGUGAAAUAUAAGUUGGGAAUGACCUGUGCUGAAAUCGGAACGACAACAGAAGAUUUAGAAUUUUCUGUAAGAAACGGGGCAGAUAAAUUAGCAGAAAAUGCACAGUGUCAGAAAAUUAUGAAAAUUAUCGGAGAUGUCAGAAAUAUUUUUAUGAUGCUAGAUUUAAAGUUCCAUGCCAUUCUGACACCCGGAAGGUGAAAAGUAGAAUCCGAAAGCUACUGAUAAAGAUUACAGUUCGGUACAGUUUUCGGUGACCAAACGGGGUUGAAACUGAAAUAUUAAAAUUUCUUUGGACUCGUUAAGUGAGACCGAACAUGACUGUCAAAUUUGAGCUCAAACGGAUAUUCAGGGAGUUCCGGCGAAAGAUAUCAGAUUUCGAACUGCCUGGAGUGAAUAGUGUUUUGGGGGAGUUUACUUGGAGGUUAAGUUUCCUCUUAUACAUAUAUAAGGGUGUUAUGUCAUUUCCCUCAUUCCUCUCUAUUUGAGCCAACAUAAGAGAAAUCUCUCUCUCUCUACCAAAGAAAGAAUUGGAGAAGAAAAUUGAGGCAAGCUUGAAGAAAAUUGAAGUAGCUUGGAGUUGAAGCUUCAUCUUUAUCUUCUCUUUCCUUGGUCUAAGUGGAAGCUUGUGUUUGAGGUAAGCUUCAUGAACCUCUAAUGGUGGAUUGCUAGGAAAUAAUAUAUAUAUCCUAGAAAUAGAUUUAGAGGACUCCCUAGAUGCUAAGUAGAAGCUAUUUGCUUGAAUUAAAGGCUAAUAUGGCUAUUCUUGCAAUAGUAGCAUAUUAGAGCUCCAAAUUGGGGUUUUUGCUUGUGAGGGGUUUUGAUCUAAAUUGAUCAUGUAUAAACCUAAUUGCUAGGUAAACGAACGCGUUGGCGAAGUCGGUUCGGCGAUUCGUCGAGCCUACGCGAAGUUAUUAAAGAAACGGACGUUAGGUUUCGUUUCCGCCUGGAGGGCCGAGGCGACGUCGUAAAAUCAUGGAAAUGGAUUUGAGGCAUCGUGGCGCAUAACCGAAGACCUAUAAUUUUCGGGGCUGCGAAGCGGAGCACGGUUGAGGCGCAGUUGCAGUAUCGGGCCGUGCCGGAUACGGGUGCCGCGGGAGGCCGAUUGCAAGUGUCGACAAGCAAUCGGAACGCGAAUUAAGGUGGGUUGUGCUUACCGAAGCGACUAGGUCGCCCUUUAUGUCUAAGAAACUAAGAAUCCAUGUUGAUGCAUAUAAAUGUAAAUGAAGCAUGUAAAUUAUGCAUGUAGCUAAAUAAUGCAUGUUGAUAGUAUGAUGUAAAUGCUAAAUAGAAUUCAUUAUGAGCAAGUUGAAUAAUGGUAGAUAAUUAUGUGAAUGCCAAGUAGUGAGCAUGUAAAAGUAAAGUUGUAUGCAUGAUGAUUAUGACAUGUAGAUGCUAAGUAAACGCAUGAACGCAUGAGUAGCAUGAUGGUAAUAUACAAGAUAAAUGUUGCAUGAAAACUAGGUUGAUAACCUUAAAAUGAUUAAAGUAAAGGAUGCUAUGCUAAAGUAUAAGUGAUAAGCAUGAUAUAAGAAUAGUAAAUGCAAGUGCAUGUUAAGAAUGCUAAGUAAGGAACAUAUAUAGGUGGACAUGAAUAAACCUAUAGAUCGAGUGGCAUUAAACCUAGUGUCGAGGACAUAGGUUAAACAAAUGUGAUGUUGAACCUAAUGUAAAGAACAUAGGUUGUGAAAUGAAAGCUGCUUAACCUAGAGUCAAGUGAACCUAGGUUGGAAAAGAAUGAUGAUCCUAGUGUAAUAAACCUAGGUUAAGAAUGUGAAAGCAAUAAACCUAAAGUGAUAACUUAGGUUGUGUAAAGGACAAUGAACCUAGAGUCAAUUGGACCUAGGAGAUAAAAGCUUAGACCUAGAGAGGUCAGUUCCAUAGGGUUAAGACCAACCCUUGGUUAAUGUGAUAUGGAUUCCGGAAUCCCAAAGCUUGCUGAUGCACCCAAAGUGGUGUGGGGUGUGUGCGACGAUUUCGCCGCCCAGGGGCUAGAAAACCAUUGUCGUGGCGUGUGUGCGACGAUUUCGCCGCCGGAUGGUUAGCCAGUUUGUGAUCCUAGCCCGCCUGUUGACUGAAGCCAUGUCGUGGCGUUUGUACGCGACAUUUCGCGCCGGCGUGGUAAGUAUGACCUAGGCCGUUGUGGUGAGGUGCGAUUCUUCGCACGCCAACGGCUAGGACAGGAGUACCGGUGACUUUGCCAGCUGAGGUGCAUGUGAGAGUUCCUUCACCUCGGAGCUAGAUAGUAGCGCGGACUAUCCGCGAUUGAUGACUCGAAGCCGAGUCGGGUGGUUAGCUCAUGAUAGGUAGGAGGAACCCUUAUGAGCUAGAGAUAGAGGCUUGAGCUAAGGUAAUAGAAAACUUAGAAGCCAGUGGUUAGUGUUGUGAUCCUAGAGGUAAUAGAAACCUUAGAGUAAAGUUAUGAGCUAAAGUAGCCAAGUAAAAUUAGAUUCAAAUGAUCUACUAGUUGUUGCAUAUUUUCAUAUCGCAUAUCGUAGGCAUGGCAAUGUAUUUCAAUUGAAUAUAUAUAUCUUGUUGUAUUGGUUGAACUAACAUGUUGGCAGUGCCUCCUCGACCUAUCGGUCGAGCUUUCCCUUUGGUGCCGUACCCACGGAACCAUGGAGUUGGUUUCUCACCCACGUUGUUUUGGGUUUCAGUCUCUCGGCGUAGGCGGCGGCGGCGCGAGGCGAGGGCGUAGCUCAGUAGAUAGCGCCCCACCACAGAGACUGAGGUAGCAGUACCCUGAGACAGUCUAGCUUAGGGGUCUAGAAGAUAAGAAAAGGAAAAUGUAUCAAACUUGAUAACUCUGAUGUAAUAGCGAGAUUGUAAUUUGGAAGUAAAAAUGUAAACAGAAACUGUGAUGUAAAAAGUGGUUCUAAAAUGAAUGCUUGUAAUAGCAAGUAGAUUAUGUAUUUGAUACUUCCUUAUGCAAUCUGGAUUGAUAUCCGUUCCUUGUUGGAACAUUCGUUGAUUGUUUGGAUUGCGACGCCUUGGACGUACUGGGGAGACUCUGUCCGCGUACAAGGGAAUUCCCGGUCCGUUCGGCGGUCUGUCGGCGGCGCCGCGACCCGGUCCAAAUUGGCGGUUGGUCGCGGGGCGUGACACCUAAUGUGUCAUUCAAUUGAGCAUAUGUAUAUACAUUGUUGCAUGCAUUUUAGGAUAAAGUAAUGAUAAAAAAAAUGUGAUGUUGCAUGAUUGUGAGCACAACUUGCAUAAUGUGAUGGUUGAGAACCUUAUGCAUGUCAAAAACCCCAUAUAUGUAUGCAUGAGAGAAAGUGUGAGAUCGAAAGUAAGGCGCAAGAACCGAAUGACACAAUGAGACAUAGAUAGAGUGGCAUUUGAUAAUGUAAAGUAAAGUGACACUAGAGGUAGUGUGAAGCAGAGAAACAAUGUGAUGCAAAGAAUAAUAAUGAUGACUAAAGUGAGAACAAAGUGGGAUGUAAAGAACAUGAAUACUAGAGUUAGCGAAAGUAAAGAAAAGUAAAGAACAAUGAUUGCUAGAAUAGCAACAUAAAGUGAUGUAAAGAACACUAGAGUUAGUGUAAAGUCAAGAUUGAACAUACAAUCCUUUGAGUUAAGGAUUCGAUCAUACUUGCUAUGAGUUCCGUGCUUGAGGGCGGUCGCACCCCCUCGAGCGAUGCGCUCCGGAGUUUUAGCAUCACGGGUUGGAGUAAACCCGAGGACGGUCCUAGCGGGUGAGUUCCUGCGAUGAUGGACUUAAUAUAAAGCAAGUUUAAUGGGGCGAAACUCUCAGGUUAGCCUUGAGAUUAAAGAAUAAAGAGUAAAGAACAAAGAACAAAGACAAAGAAUAAAGAGCAAAGAACAAAGAACUUGCAUAAUCUGCAUAUGUUAAUAUUGAGCAUAUUUCCUGCUUAUUGUUCAGGUAUAUUAGCAUCAUAUUAUAGAUUGGUUACUAUAUGCAGCUUUUCCUUUCUAUUAUGCCUGAGUUAGUCCUAGUCGGAAAGUCCGUGAGAUUGAGGCCGAACCCACUGGGAACUUUGUUGUAGUUCUCACCCCACUAUUUCCACAGAGCCGGGAUCGAGCGAGCCGGCGAGUGACCGAGUUAAAGGUAUCGCGCCUUAGACAGAGGCCACCAGAGUUGAGUUGGAUUUACAUUUUGUUAGUAGAGUACCCUAUGUUCGUCUUUUGUAUUUGAUGACUACUGAUGUAAAGAAAAGAAUGUAAAGCUUAUUUUGAGGAAAAUAUGAUGUAAAAAGAAAUGAUGUCAUGAUGUCAUGAUGUAAUGAAAUGUAAGGAAGUUGAAAAUGUACAAGUUGGACUUAAUGUAUAUGAUCUAAAUUGAAUCAUAGUACAAGUGAAUGUUUAGUUUCCUAUCUCUCACUCAUGGCUAUUGCUUACCCUCGUAUAAGCCGUAUUUGUAUAUUUUCGCUAGUGCACUUCUUUCGAAAAUGUACAUGUGAUGAGCCUUGGGCGGACAGGAGAAACUCUGUCCGUUCGGUGUCUGUUUGACGUGCUCGGGUCAGCCCAAAUUUGUAUCGGUCCCGGGGCGUGACAUACAUAAUCUUGUUGGUUAGCCUAGGGCGGACAGGGGAAACUCUGUCCGUUCGGCGCCACGCCCGCCGCGCCCGAAUCGUGCCAAAUUGGUAGCAGUCUCGAGGCUAGAGGGCGGGGCGUGACAAGCUUACUAUCUCAUACCUCAUAUGCAUCUAAUGCCCCUUUUUGGCAUUAUGUCAUCUCUUAGGUCAACGUGAGUUCUAAAUUCAAUAGCAUAAUACAAUCGUCAUUUCCACUACUUGGAAUGUGAUCCCAAGCCACACAUAAGAAUGCUAUCCAAAAAUGCAUGAUUCCAACAAAAAUAAUUCUCUACUACAUAGAGGUCCAAAUUUGCAUUAUACAUGACAAGUGCAUUUUAAGUAUUCUAAAAUUCAUAAAUAUUUUAUCUAGUAUGAAUAUGCAUGAAGUUUCAUUUUACGACAAGUAUAACCAUAAAAUGAGAAUUUUAUCUUAUUUUGGUAAGGCCAAACCCACCAAGUCUCCUUGCAACCCUUUCGUUUCGCCGAACGAAGUUGCCCACUAUUCUUCUAGCAUCCUAAAGGUAAUAAAAGGAGAGUUACACGAACGUUGCGAACAACAUAUAGGUUAAACAUUAAACAUCUCAAGAAAAGGGGCAAUACUCACCUAUAGUGUAAAAAGCCCUUUUCAAAUCCCAAAUGAGAGUAAGAUCUCUCCAAAUCCAACCUAAACAAAAGUUCUAAACUAAUUAAUUGAGAUCCAAAAGCCUCAAAUCAAAAAUUCUCAUUCUAAAUCCUAAAUUCCCAUUUCUAGGGUUUCUACAUAAGAAAUCCACCAAAACAUGGAUUAAAAAGGGGAAAAACAAGUUCUAACUCUUUAAAAGCUUCAAACCACUCUAGAAAUCAGCUAGGGUUGAAGACCUUCCCUCAAACAAGCUCCAAACAUCAAGCCAAGGCUUCUCCUAUGGUGGAAAUAGCAUCAAGAUGCAAAAAUGAGCAAAAGUAGUGAUUAAACCACUAAAAUCCAAGCAAAAAUGGAAAGAAAUCCAAAGGGGGGAAGAGAGGAGCUCCCCUACCUUGCUCUACAAUGUUUCCAAGCUCAGAAAACUAGCAAGGGGCGUGGGAUGCUAUAUAGAGUAGCAACAAACGCAAAAACACCCCUCAACAAAAUGCAGUCUGCAAACUGCAUUGUGUACCGGUACAAAGAAAAGUGUACCGGAACAAAACCCUGUACACGCAAACCCGAGCCUCAGGUUGGCUGAGAAUAACCUUCUGUACCGGUACAACAUCAAUGUUGUACCGGUACAAUAGCUUGUUCCGGUACAACAUCAAUGUUGUACCGGUACAUAAUGCUGCAGAACUCAACUCGAGAGCAGCCUAAGUCCUUCUCUUGGAGACCUUAGGGCUAAGUUAAAAAACUUAUUUUUCGGGAUGCGAGCCAUAGAUCGGAACACUGUCUACGACCCCCCAGAAAAAGUGGAAAAGCUAAGAACACAGAUCAAACACUCGAACCUCGCAAUUUGCAAAGGUCUAGUGUCACGCCCCGGGACAAGCAGAGGCCCUCCCGGUAGCGCGCCCAGACUCGCCAUAUGUCUACACAUAUAAGGCGUUUACAACAACAGCGGAAAUAAAGCAAGAGAACAAAAGAAUCUAACGAUAUCAGGGCAAAAUAAAUAACUAAGUUCUACACAGAGGGGUAAGUAUAAAACUGAAAUCCACUAAUAAAGCCAUAAAGUAGUACAAAGAAAAUCCCAAAUACAAAAACUAAACAUAAAGAGUAUAUAGGUGGUCUCUCUAUACAUGGUUCUCAACAUCUCUCUCUCUCUCGAAUACAAAAAAGAAAAGAGUAAACCACCUAAGCUCACAAGUAGCUUCAAGCUAACUAGCAACGCGAUUCCCUUGUCGCGAUCCCGUGCCUCCGCCGGUGCCGAAGGCUCUGAAAUAACAUCAAGAAAAGAGGGCAUGAGAACUAUAAUUUAUAGUUCCCAGUGGGCAAUUACUGACCUCAGCUCAAUGCACCACUAGGCCCCAAAAGAAAAGGGUAAGUCCAAAAGCAACAAUAAUAAUAAAUGGAUUGCAUUUAUAGAAGCAUGAUUAAAUUGCUAAACUACUAUGUCGCAAAUAAAUAUGAUGUCAAAUGUGAUGUACAUCUACUUUAUCAAAAUGAAGCAUGUCCAAGCAUGACUAAUAUGUCCCAUCAUAACGAACAAGUAGGCUAUCAUGAUCCACUAUAUCAAAGUAUGAUGAGUAUGCUCUAUCAUGGCAGCAACGUAUACUAUGAUGCAACAAUUAAGACUAUCAUGUAUACUACAAGUCCCAACACUAUGCUAUAAACAUGUCAAGAUAAUCAAACUACUAAGCCUAUCUAGUAGUGAUAGUCAUUUCCCAGUUCAAUGUCAUUGUUUCCAACAUGUUCUAGGACCUACAUAGUGUAGUCCAGCUUGUGCCACCUAAGUGUCGGUGGUAGCUCCAGCAUUCCCAAGAGAACUCCUUCUCUCUUAAAUCUCUCUCAAAAUAGAUGGAUUGGUGUGGAAGAUUUGAAGCUAGUGGAGGUGAAUUCGCCUUCGGUCUUGUUUAUCUUCUCACUGUGAGGGCAAGUUGAGAGGUAAGCUUUUGCUACCCUGUUAAUGGCAUUUUCUUAUAGUGCGGUAUUUAGUCUAAGGAUGGAUUUAGUAGCUUUCUAAGUGCUAUUAGAUGAUUUAUGCUUGAAAUCCAAAGCUCUAGGUGUCUGGAAUUCUUGACUUAGUUGUAAACCUAGAGCUCAAAAUGCUAUUUUUGGUAAAUAGAGAGUUUGAUCUAAAUGGUUGUAAUUAAACUAAUUGGAUAGGUAACGAACACACGUUGGCGAAGGACGGUUCGGCAUCCGACGAGCGUUACAAAGUUGAUUAAAGGAAACGGACGCUUUAGGUUCGUUAUCGCUUGGGAGGGCGGAGGCGACGUCGUAAAUCAUUCUUGAAAUGGAUUUGAAGCAUCGUAACAAGAAACCGAAGACCUUUAAUUUUCGUGAUCGGGAUCGGUGGUCGUUUAAGUGGUCGUGGCAGGGAUUGGUCAAGCCGGCGGUGCGUGCCGCCGGUCGAGGCCGAUGCACAGUGACAAAAGCAAUCGGAACGCGAUAAAAAGGUGGGAGGAGUCCAUCCCGAGAGCAAUCGGGCUUCUUCCUAAUGUCUUAGGCUUAUCAUCUACAUGUAGCAUAUUGGUAUAUCGAUACCUCGCAUUAGGAGGAUAGACAAUGACAUGCAUUGCUAAUCAUUAUAUGAUGUUUAUGAUCUAUAGUUAUCUCGAUGUUAUGUGGCAUAUUGAAUGUAAUGGACAUAAGGAUUAUGAGAUAACAUUGGUAAACUUAUGAGCUAUAAAUGAGAGAAGAACCUGAGUGUGUGGAUUAAAGAAUAGUUUAAGGUGGCAUUGAACUUUAUUGUGCUAAAAACACAUAUGACUUGAACUAGUAAUGGUUGGUUGUCUAUACUAGAAACUCUAGUUAGAGUUGAUCAAGUUGAUAUUGGGAUAUUGCAUUAUAGGGUACUAGUUGGCAAUUGUUACAGGUUAUCAUGGCAUGCUAGUUGGGUAGUGUAGUGUUACUUGAUUAUACUUGUACCUAGUAUGCAUGAGAUUGGGACUUACGUUGUGGUGAAACCGUAACAAGGAUGAUUAAUGUGAUAAACUUGUUGAAUGCGAUUACAUUAAACUAUGUUUGAAUGAUUUAACGAUUAAGUUGAUAAUACGUAUUCAGUUGCAUUUAGAGCUAAUGAUUGUUGUCUGGGUGCAUAUUUGCAUGCUGAGUAGCUAUACAGUCUGAUGUAUUGAUCGAUGAUCUAGUAUGCAUGAUGAUAUAUGAUGAAACUUUAUGAUAAGGCUAGCCUAUGUUGAGGUGAUUAUAUGCUUAUGUUGCUAAAGAACUAGUAUGAUGUAAAUAGUGUUGAAUGAGUCCUAAUGUCGAGUGCGCAUUAGUUUUAGAAAAACUUAUGAGGGUGCAUGAUGAUUGUUGCAUAACCUUGGCAUGACCUUAGUGUAGUUGAAAACACUAUUGAGAUAUGGGUACAAGAAACCUUGACCAUGGAUGAAGAUUACCUUAGAGGGUAUGGUUGCUGUGCUCAGAGAUGAUUCACCGCUCACAUUGCAGUCUUGCGUUGUGGGGUCGGCUCCCUCAAGUUGUGGCCGGAGUUUAGGUCCAUUCUAGAGAGGCGCCCCGUGCUUGGCUCGGAUAGCCGGUUGUUAUCCGCAGGUGACUCGGGGACAUCGACCGCUAUGGCAUCCUCGGAGAUUGAUAUGUGAGCCUUGCUGUGUGAAACCUCGUGUUCACUUGGGGAUUGGCGUUACCUAUUUGCGGUCAUACCUUAUUGUGUGUUCAUGAUAGCUGCUUCGUUACCAUGGAGAUUUGUUGACUAUUGAGAACUCAUUAUUGUUGUUCAUGAUAGCUUGCUUCCAUAGGUUGUUGUUGUUGAUCAUAUUGCCUUUGGUGGCUUCACCUGAUUGUGGUGGUCUAAAGAUAGCCCUAUGAUGAAACCUAGUGUAUGUAGUUUAACCUUCACUAGACUUACCUUGAUAGCGAGCAAUAGGUCGCUUGGUAGUUGGUUAGCGGAUUUGACCUAUAUACAGUGAGGUGGGUAUAUCUAUUCCUUACUAUGAGAUUGAGUUACCUAUUGUACAUACUUAUUAUUGUUGUUCAUGGAUCGCUUGCUUCCAUUAGUUAGUUGUUGUGUACCUAACUAGAUUUGAGAACUUAGCAAGUUAGCCUAGCGGAUUGGGUAAUAACAUGAAUAGAUAAGAGUAUUGUUCAUACUAUGAUUAAAACAUGAGUUGAUUGAUACUAUGUGUUGUUGUUUAUUUCACUGUUGGGCAACUAGCAUGAUGGUAGGUAUUGCUUAGUGAUGUUCCAUUGAUACUUUGCCAUUUUGAUGGGCAUAGUAGAUUAAGUAGUAGUUUUCCAUAUAUCUUUCUAUUAAUCUAUCUUGUGCCAGCUUGACCUAGUGGAAGAUCGGCGGAGUCGGCGGCCGAACCCACUGGGAACUAUAUUAUAUAGUUCUCACCCCGUGUGGUUUUGGGUUACAGGUACACGACGAUUGAGCGGAUGGGCAGACGGAUGCGUUAGUGGGGCUUAGACGCCCUAGUGCUAGUUGAUAGUUUAUUUCCUAUUUUGCAUUAGAGUUACCCUAUACAUGUAUUGAGAGUAGCAUGAUGUUAUAGGAUGUGAGUAUUUUUGAGUAAAUGUAAUACAUGUUAUAUCUUUGGAAAUGUAAGCUAUAUAUUCAUAGUUGGAAAAGAUGAAGUUGUAUUAAAAUGUAUCGGAUUGAGAUGGUUGUAAUAGAAUAGUUAAAGUAUCUCUCUUUUGUUUCACUUGUAUGUCUUCUACUUGUUGACGCUUGCUCUUGUAUUGUUUCAGCAGUGUUUGUGCUCUUCGGCUGUUGUUGCAUGAUCAUGUAUGUAUUCAUUGAUUUACCUGGGAGCUUGAUUACUGAUCUCGGUUGUUAGCAUGGAACGCGGACAGGGGAGGGUGGUCUUGUCCGUUCGCGGUCGCCUGACGCGCCGAUACCGUGCAAAUCAGGUAGCGGCUCGGGGGCUGCCGCCGGGGCGUGCACAGGUCAUAGUGGUUACAUUCGACUUUACUUUUGCUUUAUACAUCAUGUUAGUACUGACUCUUUUGUGCUUUCGGCCUUGUGGUUGCUUCCUGAAGUCCGGUAAUUGCCAUCAUGGGAAUAUUUUUAGUAUAGUUCUCACGCUCCUGUUUUCGAUGGUCUUACUUUUCAGAGCCUUCAGGCACCGGCGAGCACGGGAAUCGCGGGCAAGGGGAUGCCUUGUUUAGUUAGCGAGGAGCGGCGUUCUUUGCCUACGGUGGUUUUGCUCUGUUCUUUUUGUAGUUGGCGAGAGUGAGAGUUUUGGAUCCAUGUGUAGAGUACCACCUUAUGUACCUAUUUUAGGAGUUGAUAUUUGGGAUUCUCCUACUGCUAUUUACUUUAUUGUUCUGUUUUAGUGAACUCCAAGUGUUAUAUCCUUAUUCCUUGUUGUAGCAUUUUAGAACUUUGACUAUG